GAGGGUGCCUGUACCUGCUGAACUUCAGAAAACGCUCGAGUCUUGUCCGAGCAGGACACAUCUGUGGCCAUCAAAGAGCAACCAGAUUUUAAAGAUGAAGUAUCUUCCCCAAUUCCCUUCCAUCUUGGCCAUCUUUUGCUUCUGCCUGCUACAGCAUCCCUCCUCAGGAUAUAUUCAACCUUCAGAUGAUUCUCCAGAUGGCUUGGAUAUUGUGCAGCUGGAGCGGCUGGCAUAUUGGGCAACUCUUUCUA